AAUGCUGGCGGUGUGCCUAACACAUGCAAGUCGAACGGAGCUAUGUGCGGCACAGUGUGCAGGGAAAGAGGAUAAGCGUGGCUUGAAAGAGCGAAGCUUUGAAUCAAAAUUUGCGGCGACAUGAGCGGCGCAAAUUUAUCCUGUCAUGUUUGCGAGAGUGCGACCGAAGGGAGUGCUCGAAGCAAACAUGGAAACAUCAAGCAAAUACGAAGGUAUUUGCUUGAGCACAGUGUGCUGUGCAUAACUUAGUGGCGAACGAGUGAGUAACGCGUGAGCAACCUGUCCUUCAGAGGGGGAUAACUCUGGGAAACCAGAGCUAAUACCGCAUGAGACCCCGAUACCGCAUGGUAUAGAGGUAAAAGGAGCAAUCCACUGAAGGAGGGGCUCGCGUCCCAUUAGAUAGUUGGUGGUGUAACGGACCACCAAGUCAGCGAUGGGUAGCCGGGCUGAGAGGCUGAACGGCCACACUGGGACUGAGACACGGCCCAGACUCCUACGGGAGGCAGCAGUGGGGAAUAUUGGGCAAUGGGCGAAAGCCUGACCCAGCAACGCCGCGUGAGGGAAGAAGGUUCUUGGAUUGUAAACCUCUGUCCUUGGGGGGGGGGGGAAAAAAACCCC
rnacentral:rRNA from 1 species